AUUGAACGCUGGCGGCAGGCCUAACACAUGCAAGUCGAACGAGUGGCGGACGGGUGAGUCAUGUCUGGGAAACUGCCUGAUGGAGGGGGCUAACUACUGGAAACGGUAGCUAAUCCCGCAUACCAUCGGAUGUGCCCAAAUGGGAUUAGCUAGUAGGUGGGGUAAAGGCUCACCUAGGCGACGCUCCCUCGCUGGUCUGAGAGGAUGAAAAGCCACACUGGAAAUGAGACACGGUCCAGACUCCUAGAGGAGGAAGCAGUGGGGAAUAUUGCACAGUGGGAGCAAGACUGACGCAGCCAUGCCGCGUGUGUGAAGAAGGCCUUCGGGUUGUAAAGCACUGUCAGCGGGGAGGCGUUACCCGCAGAAGAAGAACCGGCUAACUCCGUGCCAGCAGCCGCGGUAAUAC
rnacentral:rRNA from 1 species